rnacentral:piRNA from 1 species
GAGUAAACGUAAUACACGUGUCUUC